AGAGAGCUUGCUUUCUGGGAAAGUGGCGCACGGGCGCUUAACGCGUAUGCAACCUACCUUAAUCAGGGGGAUAGCCUCUCGAAAGAGAGAUUAACACCGCAUAAAAUCACACUUCGGCAUCGAAGAAUGAUCAAAUAUUUAUAGGAUUAAGAUGGGCAUGCGUGACAUUAGUUUGUUGGUGAGGUAACGGCUCACCAAGACUACGAUGUCUAGGGGAUCUGAGAGGAUGACCCCCCACACUGGUACUGAGACACGGACCAGACUCCUACGGGAGGCAGCAGUAAGGAAUAUUGGUCAAUGGGGGCAACCCUGAACCAGCCAUGCCGCGUGCAGGAAGACGGCCCUACGGGUUGUAAACUGCUUUUAUACGGGAAUAAACCUCACUACGUGUAGUGAGCUGAAUGUACUGUAAGAAUAAGGAUCGGCUAACUCCGUGCCAGCAGCCGCGGUAAUACGGAGGAUCCAAGCGUUAUCCGGAUUUAUUGGGUUUAAAGGGUGCGUAGGCGGCCUAUUAAGUCAGGGGUGAAAGACGGUGGCUCAACCAUCGCAGUGCCUUUGAUACUGAUAGGCUUGAUUACACUUGAGGUAGGCGGAAUGUGACAAGUAGCGGUGAAAUGCAUAGAUAUGUCACAGAACACCAAUUGCGAAGGCAGCUUACUAAAGUGUUAAUGACGCUGAGGCACGAAAGCGUGGGGAUCAAACAGGAUUAGAUACCCUGGUAGUCCACGCCCUAAACGAUGAAUACUCGAUGUUAGCGAUAUACAGUUAGCGUCAAAGCGAAAGCGUUAAGUAUUCCACCUGGGGAGUACGCCCGCAAG
rnacentral:rRNA from 1 species